GUACACGAGCGGCGAACGGGUGAGUAACACGUGGGUGAUCUGCCCUGUACUUCGGGAUAAGCCUGGGAAACUGGGUCUAAUACCGGAUAUGACCCAGGGUUGCAUGACUUUGGGUGGAAAGAUUUAUCGGUACAGGAUGGGCCCGCGGCCUAUCAGCUUGUUGGUGGGGUAACGGCCUACCAAGGCGACGACGGGUAGCCGACCUGAGAGGGUGACCGGCCACACUGGGACUGAGACACGGCCCAGACUCCUACGGGAGGCAGCAGUGGGGAAUAUUGCACAAUGGGCGAAAGCCUGAUGCAGCGACGCCGCGUGGGGGAUGACGGCCUUCGGGUUGUAAACCCCUUUCGACAGGGACGAAGCGCAAGUGACGGUACCUGUAGAAGAAGCACCGGCCAACUACGUGCCAGCAGCCGCGGUAAUACGUAGGGUGCGAGCGUUGUCCGGAAUUACUGGGCGUAAAGAGCUUGUAGGCGGUCUGUCGCGUCUUCUGUGAAAACUUGGGGCUCAACCUUAAGCUUGCAGGGGAUACGGGCAGACUAGAGUACUUCAGGGGAGACUGGAAUUCCUGGUGUAGCGGUGAAAUGCGCAGAUAUCAGGAGGAACACCGGUGGCGAAGGCGGGUCUCUGGGAAGUAACUGACGCUGAGAAGCGAAAGCAUG
rnacentral:rRNA from 1 species